rnacentral:rRNA from 1 species
AUGAACGCUGGCGGCGUGCUUAACACAUGCCAGUCGAACGGAAAGGCCCAAGCUUGCUUGGGUACUCGAGUGGCGAACGGGGGAGUAACACGUGGGUGAUCUGCCCUGCACUUCGGGAUAAGCCUGGGAAACUGGGUCUAAUACCGGAUAGGACGAUGGUUUGGAUGCCAUUGUGGAAAGUUUUUUCGGUGUGGGAUGAGCUCGCGGCCUAUCAGCUUGUUGGUGGGGUAAUGGCCUACCAAGGCGUCGACGGGUAGCCGGCCUGAGAGGGUGUACGGCCACAUUGGGACUGAGAUACGGCCCAGACUCCUACGGGAGGCAGCAGUGGGGAAUAUUGCACAAUGGGCGCAAGCCUGAUGCAGCGACGCCGCGUGGGGGAUGACGGCCUUCGGGUUGUAAACUCCUUUCGCUAGGGACGAAGCGUUUUUGUGACGGUACCUGGAGAAGAAGCACCGGCUAACUACGUG